CGUCGCGAGACAGUUCGGUCCCUAUCUGCCACGGGCGUUGGAUGAUUGAGAGGAUCUGCCUUUAGUACGAGAGGACCGAGGUGGACAAACCUCUAGUGUACCAGUUAUCGUGCCAACGGUAAGUGCUGGGUAGCUACGUUUGGAAGGGAUAACCGCUGAAAGCAUCUAAGUGGGAAGCCCACCUCAAGAUGAGUCAUCCCAUCUCCCUAGAGGAGACUGAAGAGACCAGAGAGACGAUCUGGUUGAUAGGCUGGAGGUCUAAGCAUGGUAACAUGUUGAGCCGACCAGUACUAAUUUCUCGUGAGGCUUGACCAUAU
rnacentral:rRNA from 1 species